rnacentral:tRNA from 1 species
GGGGGCUUAGCUCAGAUGGGAGAGCGCCUGCUUUGCACGCAGGAGGUCAGCGGUUCGAUCCCGCUAGUCUCCACAA